rnacentral:rRNA from 1 species
AAAUUGAAGAGUUUGAUCAUGGCUCAGAUUGAACGCUGGCGGCAGGCCUAACACAUGCAAGUCGAACGGUAACAGGAAUCAGCUUGCUGAUUCGCUGACGAGUGGCGGACGGGUGAGUAAUGUCUGGGAAACUGCCUGAUGGAGGGGGAUAACUACUGGAAACGGUAGCUAAUACCGCAUAACGUCGCAAGACCAAAGAGGGGGACCUUCGGGCCUCUUGCCAUCGGAUGUGCCCAGAUGGGAUUAGCUUGUUGGUGGGGUAACGGCUCACCAAGGCGACGAUCCCUAGCUGGUCUGAGAGGAUGACCAGCCACACUGGAACUGAGACACGGUCCAGACUCCUACGGGAGGCAGCAGUGGGGAAUAUUGCACAAUGGGCGCAAGCCUGAUGCAGCCAUGCCGCGUGUAUGAAGAAGGCCUUCGGGUUGUAAAGUACUUUCAGCGGGGAGGAAGGGAGUAAAGUUAAUACCUUUGCUCAUUGACGUUACCCGCAGAAGAAGCACCGGCUAACUCCGUGCCAGCAGCCGCGGUAAUACGGAGGGUGCAAGCGUUAAUCGGAAUUACUGGGCGUAAAGCGCACGCAGGCGGUUUGUUAAGUCAGAUGUGAAAUCCCCGGGCUCAACCUGGGAACUGCAUCUGAUACUGGCAAGCUUGAGUCUCGUAGAGGGGGGUAGAAUUCCAGGUGUAGCGGUGAAAUGCGUAGAGAUCUGGAGGAAUACCGGUGGCGAAGGCGGCCCCCUGGACGAAGACUGACGCUCAGGUGCGAAAGCGUGGGGAGCAAACAGGAUUAGAUACCCUGGUAGUCCACGCCGUAAACGAUGUCGACUUGGAGGUUGUGCCCUUGAGGCGUGGCUUCCGGAGCUAACGCGUUAAGUCGACCGCCUGGGGAGUACGGCCGCAAGGUUAAAACUCAAAUGAAUUGACGGGGGCCCGCACAAGCGGUGGAGCAUGUGGUUUAAUUCGAUGCAACGCGAAGAACCUUACCUGGUCUUGACAUCCACGGAAGUUUUCAGAGAUGAGAAUGUGCCUUCGGGAACCGUGAGACAGGUGCUGCAUGGCUGUCGUCAGCUCGUGUUGUGAAAUGUUGGGUUAAGUCCCGCAACGAGCGCAACCCUUAUCCUUUGUUGCCAGCGGUCCGGCCGGGAACUCAAAGGAGACUGCCAGUGAUAAACUGGAGGAAGGUGGGGAUGACGUCAAGUCAUCAUGGCCCUUACGACCAGGGCUACACACGUGCUACAAUGGCGCAUACAAAGAGAAGCGACCUCGCGAGAGCAAGCGGACCUCAUAAAGUGCGUCGUAGUCCGGAUUGGAGUCUGCAACUCGACUCCAUGAAGUCGGAAUCGCUAGUAAUCGUGGAUCAGAAUGCCACGGUGAAUACGUUCCCGGGCCUUGUACACACCGCCCGUCACACCAUGGGAGUGGGUUGCAAAAGAAGUAGGUAGCUUAACCUUCGGGAGGGCGCUUACCACUUUGUGAUUCAUGACUGGGGUGAAGUCGUAACAAGGUAACCGUAGGGGAACCUGCGGUUGGAUCACCUCCUUACCUUAAAGAAGC